CCUACGGGAGGCAGCAGUGGGGAAUAUUGCACAAUGGGGGAAACCCUGAUGCAGCGACGCCGCGUGAGUGAAGAAGUAAUUCGUUACGUAAAGCUCUAUCAGCAGGGAAGAAAAUGACGGUACCUGAGUAAGAAGCCCCGGCUAACUACGUGCCAGCAGCCGCGGUAAUACGGAGGGGGCAAGCGUUAUCCGGAUUUACUGGGUGUAACGGGAGCGUAGACGGUGCGCCAAGUCUGGAGUGAAAUACCGCAGCUUAACUGCGGAACUGCUUUGGAAACGGGCGAACUAGAGUGCGGGAGGGUUCAGCGGCAUUCCUAGUGUAGCGGUGAAAUGCGUCGAUAUUAGGAGGAACACCCGUGGCGCAGGCGGCUUACUGGACCGUAACUGACGUUGCGGCUCGCAGGCGUGGGGAGCAAACAGGAUUAGAUACCCUUGUAGUC
rnacentral:rRNA from 1 species